CUUCGCUCAUGGCCCUGCGGUUCCGCGCACGCGCAGCGGCUACGCCCGGCCGGUGGGACACAUUGCCGGACGCGGGUGGCAAGGGGGCUGAGAGCCGUGCCGAGGGCGGGAUGCGGAGCAACGCAAGCGGUAGCCGUAGCCGAACUGCUUCCCGAAACCGCCGAGCCGGUCCCCAGCGCCAGCGCUGCCACCGCCCUCCGCCCUUAGCAGCCCGGAGCGCCUCCCCCAGCUUUCCGGUGUCGUAGUCUAGGAAACCGCCUCCCCCAACGUUACUUCCGGGUAGGGCCCGGGGCAUUGAGGCUCAGGACCAAUGGGGACCAGAUCGGAGAGGGGCUGGCUCCGGGGACAGGAGAGGGCAUUGGCCGGGAGAAGUGAGACGUGGACAAAAGGCGGGACCUCUGGCUUCCGCCCUCCUCCGACCCGCGAACUUGCGACUCGAAGACUACAAGUCCCAGCGUGCGCUGCUUUCCCCGGCGGGCUAGCAAUCAGACUCCGCCUGGCUAAAUUUCCACCCUGGGUGGGCGCGCUGCACCCUGGGAUGUGUGGUCGUCCGAGGGUCACAGGGGGUGACUAGGAUCCCGCUUCCAGCGGCGUCUUGCAGCCAGUCCUACCUCCGGGGCUGUAGGCUUACGUGUCCUGGGGAACCUGUCAGCUGUUUAUCCCUCUUCCUGCGCUUGACGCUUCCCGGAGGGGUGGCCGAAUGAGGCUCACACGUCCCCAGCUCGGUACUACCCGCUUUCGGAAGUAGUGUUGGGGUAGCCUCUGCCCCGAGAGAAAGUAUAAAACAGUAACAGCAAAAGUGAGUUGACCUUUGAUGCCACGUGCUGAGUUUUGCUUGCGUUCUCUCAUGCACUCUUCUCAACUCCCACAAAUAUAAAGCACAGAGUCUGUGGGGGGAGAAAAUCUUUCUGAUAAGAGAACUGUGCUGUUCAAUAUGGUAGCCACUAGCCACAUGUGGCUAUUGAGCACCUGAAAUAUGGUUACUUCAUAAAUAAUGAGCCUGAACCAGUCUGCUGAAGGAUGAGAGACCACAUGGAGUAGAGCCCAGAUGUCCCAAACCCCACUGGGCAAGAUUGACAUACAGCCAGCCUCCAAACAUGUUGAGAGGGCCAUCCAAGAUCAGAAGAACUAUCUACUUAUUCCUGGCUUGUAGUCUUCUGAGCAAUAAUAAAUGAUCCCUAUUUUAAGCCACUGAGUUUUGCAGUGGUUUUGUUUUGCAGCAAUUGCUAAAUGAUGCACCUGGUUCAAUUAGUUACUAGCUGUGUAAUCUUCAGGAAGUUACUUCUCUGAGUCUCAUUUUGUUCAUAUGUGCUUAAAUAUCUAUUACAAAUUAUCUCUUUUAAUCAUGAUCAUAACCUUGUGAUGUGUGUGUUAUCAUUCCCAUUUUACAAACUGAUUUUAUAAAGUGUAAGUAAUUAGCUCAAGUUCACACAGUAAGUUGACAGCCAUACAAUUUUCUCAUAAAGAAAGUCAAAUUUAUAAGCAACCUUAGUGACGAAUUCUAAAAAUGUGAUCUGAAAGGUGGAGAGGCUCAUUUAUAUUUAAGAGUAUUUCGCUUAAGUUGAGUAAUACAACUCGUCAGGGCAAAAAAGACAACCCACCGUCUGAAUGCAGUAAGGGUGGGUGCUGAUUGUUUUGUCUGCCAUUCUGUUCCCAGGGCCUAGCAGAGUCCACAGCACAUUAGUAGAUAUCAAAAUAAUAUUUUUUUGAAAAAAUUACUCCAUGAAUGAAUCCUGAUGGUACAUGGAAAACAUCAUUUAUUCUAGGGCCUGAAUCAAAAAUUCAUGGGUUUAACUUGAAGCCUCCAACAGAUAGAAAUGAAAAUACCAUCUUUUUUCCCCCGCAUGAUCUCUCUCAAAUCAACGUACAAAAAAACUGUCCCCCACAUGAUUCAGGAAGCAGCACAGAAUGUGGGAGCAAGGAGGGAAGGGGGUUUUAAGUGCUAUCUACCAAAAGCCACCCCUAAGCUUGAAAAUCACUUCAGUACCUUGUAACAAUUCCCCAACACAUACACCCACUUUCCUACCCCAACAGUUCUACUUAGAAUUGCUAAAGAGAGGCCUCACCACUACAUGUGUGUAUCCCUUUGUGUAGAGACCAGAGGGGGAAAUUAAUAAUUUAUUAAUUUGGAUUCCAUGAAGUAAACCACAAUGGAUCUGCAGAAGGUGUGGAUCAGCAUCCAGAGAGGACUCAAGAUUCCUGAAAAGAGCAGAUAGGGGUUGAUGGAAAGGGGUCUUGAUAAAAAUUUUCUUCAUCUGUAGGCUGCUAGAGUCUGGACUUUAGUCCAUGACAGGGAAGAAAUAAAAGCAGGAAAUAAAGGGCAGGCUCAAUAGGUUCAACAAACAAAUCUCAAAUUGCUUGAGUAGAGUCUUUAGUUGCCCUUUAUCUGUGCUGCCAGAACGCUUCCUCCUCUGCCUGCAGAACCACCACUUGCUUCUCAGUCUUCCCAACUGGACUCAGUUCCCUAAAAGCAGGGACCACAGCUUCUUUCCUGCUCCUUGCCCAACCUCAAGAGGAAGGCUUGCCCGAAGGCAGAUGCUCUCCAUGAAUUAGUUGGGCAUUUGCUCAUGUCUCGCAGAUUACCCCAAGAGUAAACUUCUUUUUACCUUGCUGACCUCAUAGGGACCUCAGGAAAAUCCAGUGGAGGUUAGUGUUCUGAAAACUAGGAGUGCUUCAUGUUAGCCAGCUUGAUUUGGGGGCAACUUGGCUCUGAUGUCCUCUCCCAGAGUGACAGGUGUGCACAAACACAGGAUGAAAUUCCAUCACUAAAACAGAACUAUCUCAACAGGCUGAGGGUGAGUAAAGUUGCCAGCUUCUCAGACCAUUGCUGGGAUUGGUGAUAUUUAUUCAUUCAUUCAACAUUUAUUGAGCACUUUCUGUACACAGGGAGGUAUGCUCUGUUGGGGACACAAAGACUGAAGACAGAGAAGGUAGAUGGCUGUGGUAGAGUAAGAGAAAACAACCAGAAGUGGGCAAGUAAAUUAGGGUGACAGUUCAGCAAAGUGUUAUCGUGGUUGUGGUGAGGGUGGGGGGAGGUUUGUCCUGACUUAUCCUGACUCUUACAGGAAAAGUGGGCAUUGGCCAGGUGGACAAAGAGGGUCAGAAGUUCUUGGAAAGGGGAAGACUAUGGCGCAGGUUGAGAGGUGUUUUACACCAGGCAAGGAAGCAAAUACCCAUUCUUGGCUCUCCCUGGCCAUGUUUACCCUGAGAACUUGAGUUUGGGGAUGUCAGGGACAUAUCCAUUAUGUUCACCUCCGUUUCUCCAGUACCCACUAGAGUGCCUACAUAUAAUAAAUACAGAAUCAUUAUUUUUUGGAUGAAUUAAUUCAUGGAGGAAUGAGCAACUGUGGAUAUUGGUGAGUAAAUAUUAUUUUAUGCAUGACUGUAGAAAGAAUGAAUGUUUUGCUUAGUGUUACCCAUUGCAGAUAAAUUUGUUUGAACAGUAGUUCAAUUACGUCAAGAGUAAUUGCCCAUUAUUACAGACAUAGAGAAAUUAUUCCUAGAGAAAUAAGCCUAAUUUUCAAAGCAUAAUUACCUCUGACAUUAAGUGACUUCUCUGUGGACUCCUUUCUGACAACAGAAAAUGAAAAGUUCCAUAAUACAGCAAUAGUGACUCACUCUUCCAUCUGAGGGUGUUACUCCCAGCUCGAGUAUGACGUUUGCUUAAAAGAUGAAACCACCCCCAUUCUAAAUAAAUAUGACACUUGGACAAGUCUUCAAGGAUGAACAUUUUAUUGGAAUAUAGGCACUUGGCAGAGUAAAUAUGUGGUUACAAAGUGCUUUUAAGUUUAUUUGCUUUAUAUAGUGACCAGAAAAACCCAUCCACAGUGUAGAUUUUAUUCUUGAAGUUACAGACUUCAGAAGGCAGGUCCCCAAACCCUGGGUAAAGUAAGAAGACACACGUAGCUGACUUUUUUUAACCCACUGAAUCUGUAUUGCUUUAAUCAGUAAUGCCCUUCCCCUCCCCAUAGGAAAAUUGCUAUGUAGCAUAUAGCAUUUAGCACUUUUUAUAAAGAAUGAAAAUCACACUCAUCUGGCAGAACUGUGAAACCCUUUGAAAUCACCGACUCCAGUCUGGAGGGUCACAAAACCAGACUUGAGAAUCUUUGCAAUAAAAUGUAGAAGAUCAGGCCCAAAGACCUGCAGUUCCUCACACUCAGCCUCUUUAUAAAAGCUUUUGGACAGGUCGGAAUCUUAUCCUUGUGGUUUCCAAAAUAUUUUUUUUUGAAAAGAGAGUUUUCUCUGCAUGACUCAAGGCACCACUGUCUCCACUCUAAGCUGCAAAGGAAAAAAUGACAAGCCAAAUUUUUUCAAGGAAAACAUUCUCUUUGUAAAAGGUCAAUAGUAACAUAGCUGAUUUAAAGUCAUGGGAUUUUUGCCAAAAACCAUGUCCUGAGGUUUUAUGCAUUUCUAAUGGAUUUGCCCAUAGGAGAGAUCCCUAGAGCAGCCUGCAGAAGCCUUUCAUGCUGCUCAUUUAAAUUACAAUAACCUUGCUCUAACCUGGAAACCACUGAAUCAACAUGAACAAGUCUAUUAAAAACAAGACAAGCUCAUAGUAAUAUGGAGCUAUGCCAUUCGACAUGUUGAAAUGAAUAAGGAAUAUUUUUAACGAACGUUAGUUUCCUGUUCCACCUUCAAACAGAACAAUCAUCCCGCUUAAUCUAGUGAACUUGUCUUUUGUGAAAUCUGUACAGAAAAAUUAUUUGUAUUGUCAGCUAUAUCCUCCCAGCACCCUCUGGCCUACAAGAUGGGUAAAGAGAGGUCACUGAUGUUCAUCCAUCCAAUGCAGUGAGAUGUACUUUCUUUAGGGUUGGAAAAAUCUCUUAGUUUUCCGAGGGGUCCAAGAAGCCCUGAGGUGAGCAAAGGGAGGAAGGUGGGAAGCUCCAGCAUGGGCUCGUACUGAGCGCAUGUACCUCCUUGCUCGCUGACGUCUCCUGGAGAGAGAAGGGCAGUCCCGGGUGGGGCUGGGCACUGCUCCUUUGGCUCCUGGCCUUACUGGGCAGCGCAUCUGACCAUCUGGCUGUCUGCCUCUUGGACUUUGGACUCGCCUUAAGGGAAGACUCCCCAAGGGCAAAAAGUCCAAUUAAAAACGUCUCCCUGCCUGACAGCAAGCCCCAGAUAGCCCCGGCACAGCAGUGUGGCGGGCGUUCAGUUCUCACAUUUCCUGAGCAGCUUGACGCGUGCCAGUGCUUAUGCUCAGCACUAGGGAUAUGAAAGUGGCUUGAGAAGGCAGUGAGCCGUUACUCAAGGCUGUGUCUCCCUAGCAGGAAGCACACAUGAUUAAUAAACCCCAGUUUCUGUCCUUGAGCAGAAGGCCCCCCGGAAGAGACGGGAAGUAAAUAGAAUUUCAAUACUCUAUGCUAAAUGCAAGGAUAUGAGUGAACACUGGGUACUGCAGGGGACCAGGGGAGGAGUGGCCUCUGCCUUCUUUCCCUACAAGGAGAUCCUUCAUAGAUGUGAAGAUCUAAACACU